rnacentral:rRNA from 1 species
AGUUGAACGGGAUUUGUAUGGUGCUUGCACCAUGUAAUGAGAGUAGCGCACUGGUGAGUAACACGUGGGAACAUACCUUGAAGUGGGGGACAACAGUUGGAAACGACUGCUAAUACCGCAUAAUCCCUGAGGGGGAAAGAUUUAUCGCUUUAAGAUUGGCCCGCGGAAGAUUAGGUAGUUGGUGGGGUAAAGGCCUACCAAGCCGACGAUCUAUAGCUGGUCUGAGAGGACGAACAGCCACAUUGGAACUGAGACACGGUCCAGACUCCUACGGGAGGCAGCAGUGAGGAAUAUUGGGCAAUGGAGGAAACUCUGACCCAGCCAUGCCGCGUGAGUGAAGAAGGUUUUCGAAUUGUAAAGCUCUUCCGGAUGGGACGAUGAUGACGGUACCAUCUAAAGAAGCCCCGGCAAACUUCGUGCCAGCAGCCGCGGUAAUACGAAGGGGGCAAGCGUUGUUCGGAAUUACUGGGCGUAAAGGGUGUGUAGGCGGAUUUGUAAGAUAGUGGUGAAAUACCUGAGCUCAACUUAGGAAUUGCCAUUAUAACUAUAGAUCUGGAGUGACAGAGAGGAUAUUGGAAUACCCAGUGUAGAGGUGAAAUUCGUAGAUAUUGGGUAGAACACCAGUGGCAAAGGCGAGUAUCUGGCUGUCAACUGACGCUGAGGCACGAAAGCAUGGGGAUCAAACAGGAUUAGAUACCCUGGUAGUCCAUGCUGUAAACGAUGAAUGCUAGUUGUCGGCAAAAGCCGGUGACGCAGUUAACGCGAUAAGCAUUCCGCCUGGGGAGUACGGUCGCAAGAUUAAAACUCAAAGGAAUUGACGGGGACCCGCACAA